rnacentral:rRNA from 1 species
CGGGGGGAGCAAGCGUUGUUCGGAUUUACUGGGCGUAAAGGGCGCGUAGGCGGUCGUGACAAGUCACUUGUGAAAUCUCGGGCUUAACUCGGAACGGUCAAGUGAUACUGUCGGACUAGAGUACAGAAGGGGCAACUGGAAUUCUCGGUGUAGCGGUGAAAUGCGUAGAUAUCGAGAGGAACACCCGCGGCGAAGGCGGGUUGCUGGGCUGAUACUGACGCUGAGGCGCGAAAGCCAGGGGAGCGAACGGGAUUAGAUACCCCGGUAGUCCUGGCCUUAAACGAUGAAUGCUUGGUGUCUCGGGUUAUAAAGUCCCGGGGUGCCGUCGCUAACGCUUUUAGCAUUCCGCCUGGGGAGUACGGUCGCAAGACUG